rnacentral:rRNA from 1 species
UGGGGAAUAUUGGGCAAUGGGCGCAAGCCUGACCCAGCCACGCCGCGUGAGCGAUGAAGGCCUUCGGGUUGUAAAGCUCUGUGGGGAGGGGCGAAAAACCAUCAGCUAAUAACUGUGUGGGUUGACGGUACCUCCUUAGCAAGCACCGGCUAACUCUGUGCCAGCAGCCGCGGUAAGACAGAGGGUGCAAACGUUGCUCGGAUUUACUGGGCGUAAAGCGCGUGUAGGCGGGAAGAUAAGUCGGGUGUGAAAUCCCUGGGCUCAACCUAGGAACUGCAUCCGAAACUGUUUUUCUAGAGUGGUGGAGAGGAGAGCGGAAUUCCCGGUGUAGAGGUGAAAUUCGUAGAUAUCGGGAGGAACAUCGGUGGCGAAGGCGGCUCUCUGGACACUUACUGACGCUGAGACGCGAAAGCGUGGGGAGCAAACAGG